CAUGCACCACUGAGCAACUUUCAUAGGAAUGAAUGGGUGCCAUCUUUGAACGAGGUAUCCACCUUAAUACAUCUAUGGGCAGAUGCCAGGGGAGAGUGCUAAAGUGGAGACAGUGAUGGACACUGAUGAUAACCCACACCCUUUGUUGAGACGAGAAGAGGAGCGCAGUGGACUGCAGUCAAGCGAAUAUCACUGUGGGGAAUGAACUGCGGAAAGUUAGUCGAGCUAGCCAGGGUUCAGACGAACCUGAAAAUCUGGUGGAAAUAUGUUUCAGCACUCCAACAGUCUGAGAGCUAUAUAUGCAGUGGAGCUCCUCUGUGUAGCUGCUAAAGAAAAGUCUCCUACUUGCCAUUACUGGACAACCUGCUUUAACAAGUGUUUAACAAGCCCAGUGAGGGAUACCUUAACCUGUGUCUUCUCUAGGUAUUUGACAGACUUGUUGCUCAGUGUUCACAGCACAAAGUCUAACUGACAGUCACAAACAUUUGCAUCUGCAUCAGUGGGAAAUAGUUGUGACCUUGCCUCAGUUAAUUUCUUCAUAAAUAAGCUCAAGGCAGAAGUUGCUGUCUCUCUCCAUACAUGCCUCCUGGAUGGUGCUGUGCUUGUAUUUUGAACACCACCUCUUCUCAGACAUCUUCUGCUGCAGGUGGUGAACCUCAGGAGGACUUUGGGUGGUGUAAUGACUCCACUGUCAAGA